UGGCGGACGGGUGAGUAAUGUCUGGGAAACUGCCCGAUGGAGGGGGAUAACUACUGGGAACGGUAGCUAAUACCGCAUAACGUCGCAAGACCAAAGAGGGGGACCUUCGGGCCUCUUGCCAUCGGAUGUGCCCAGAUGGGAUUAGCUAGUAGGUGGGGUAAAGGCUCACCUAGGCGACGAUCCCUAGCUGGUCUGAGAGGAUGACCAGCCACACUGGAACUGAGACACGGUCCAG
rnacentral:rRNA from 1 species